GCGGAUGUGGCGAAACUGGUAGACGCACUGGAUUUAGGUUCCAGCGCCGCAAGGCGUGGAGGUUCGAGUCCUCUCAUCCGCACCA
rnacentral:tRNA from 1 species